rnacentral:rRNA from 1 species
AGCGGCGAACGGGUGCGUAACACGUGGGCAAUCUACCGAGAAGUGGGGGAUAGCUCGCCGAAAGGCGAAUUAAUACCGCAUGUGGCUACUGGAGACAUCUUCGGGACGCUAAAGGUGGCGCAAGCUACCGCUUUUUGAGGAGCCCGCGGCCUAUCAGCUUGUUGGCGAGGUAACGGCUCACCAAGGCGUUGACGGGUAGCUGGUCUGAGAGGACGACCAGUCACACUGGGACUGAGACACGGCCCAGACACCUACGGGUGGCAGCAGUCGAGAAUUUUUGACAAUGGGGGAAACCCUGAUCGAGCGACGCCGCGUGGAGGAUGAAGGUCUUCGGGUUGUAAACUCCUGUCAUUUGGGAACAAGGCGCGUGUAUUAACUGUGCAGGCGUUGAUAGUACCAGAAGAGGAAGAGACGGCUAACUCUGUGCCAGCAGCCGCGGUAAUACAGAGGUCUCAAGCGUUGUUCGGAUUCAUUGGGCGUAAAGGGUGUGUAGGUGGCGCGCUAAGUCGGGUGUGAAAUUUCGGAGCUUAACUCCGAAACUGCAUCCGA